GAUGAAGAACACCAAAUGAUUACCUACAUUUACAAACAUAAACUCUCAAAAGACUGGAUCCCAUUUUGUUUCAAAUUAGUCAUUUGUAAGAAAAAAAAUUUAAUUGAAUUUUCACACAAUCAUGCUUUUUUAUAUUUCUGAUUUUUGGAACCAUACUUUGUUUAUAUUUCUUUGAAAAUGAUUUUUGUAAGUUAAAAAGAAUUGAAAUUUU
rnacentral:misc_RNA from 1 species